UACAGGGGGUGCAAACGUUGCUCGGAAUCAUUGGGCGUAAAGCGCACGUAGGCGGUUCGUUAUGUCGGAUGUGAAAGCCCUUGGCUUAACCGAGGAAGUGCAUCCGAAAACUGGCGAGCUAGAGUACUAAAGAGGAUCGCGGAAUUCCCGGUGUAGAGGUGAAAUUCGUAGAUAUCGGGAGGAACACCGGUGGCGAAGGCGGCGAUCUGGGUAGAUACUGACGCUGAGGUGCGAAAGCUAGGGGAGCGAACGGGG
rnacentral:rRNA from 1 species